UGAUCUUUCACUCAUCAGUUUGUGCUCUUCUCUCUUUGCCUUAAAUAACUGCUUUUUAGCUGGACAUCUGCGGCAUCUGCUUCUCCCCCGUCUCCUGGAAAACCCAAAGUGGGUUGCAAAGAUAAGUCUUAUCUCUCCUUUGGGUUUCCUCUUAACUGACCACCAAAUGACCCCAGGGGUGAAGAAGGAAGGUCAGGCCCAUAUUAAUGUGACCAUAAUUCACACAUUUGCUUGGUGAAAACCUGGUAUAGGGGAAUAAAGCCACAAUACGGACUUGUAAGCUUCAUCGUUAUUUAGACAUGAACUUGCUCUUUCGUUCAUCUCUAGGAGACACGGCAUACUUUUAAAAGUGCAUUUUACAUCACAGAUUUAAAAGGCUACGUACUUAGUUAGAUCCUUGACAUAAAGAACCCCUUCCCUGCCAUGUGAACUCUACACACAAUCUGUCCUAUCAUUUUCAGGGAAAAAAGAAGCAGGGGCUGACAACAGAGAUGCCCAGGCUCAGUUUAUUGACUUCUAAGAACUAUUAACCUUUUGCAGAGAAGGAAAAAAACCCCUCGUUGUAUCUAGGGCCUGCUGGGUGCUAAUUUGACAUGGCAAUGAGAUAAAAGUUCAGCUCCAGCUGCUGUCAACCUCACCGGAUUGGAAUGCCGUCUACUUAGCAUAAGAGUCAAACAAUUCCCUGGCAAUAGAUUGCUUUCCACUUGUAGGUCUACUAAAUAAAUAGAAAAGUAAUUAACAGCACUCAAUGGCAGAUAUAUCAGGUGGAAUUUCAUUAGAGCAGAAGAACUGAGAGAAUCGAGAAAUCAUUUUGUGCCCCAUCGUCUGAUGAAGCUCUCAUGCUGCCUUUCCCUAGGAUGGAUGUGUUAUUUCUACUUCUCUUCAAGAAGAGAAAUUUUUGAAUCUCCUAUUAUAUCUUCACUUUGAUCAAUGGGCAAAGAAAAGAAAAAUCUUAAGUGCUUGAAAUUAGUUUAAAAAAAACAACAAAGUCUGCUCAUUUUUUUCCAUUUAAUUAUUUUUGUCCUGAAACCAAGGGGUAAUUAUCUCUCUGUUGUAUUUUUUCUUUUCUUUUUUUUGCUCAAUUCUUAAAUAUCUGAAUUUUGAAAUGCUAACUGAAUGUCUUAUUAUUAUUUUGCCCCCUCCCUUUGGAAAAUAAGUGGCAUUAUGUCAUUUUUAACAGCAGGAAGAAAUGAAAUUGCAUUGGAAGGAAAUUCUAUGCUCAGUUGGAAAAAGAAAAGAUGUUUAAGGCAUUUAUUUUUAACCAGCUUUUAAAAAAUAUAUCUGAAAGUACUAAAUUCAAUUUCACAUGUCUAGAAUGGUAUAACCUAAUUUUAGCAUAUUAAUUAACAAUAAAAGUAGUGUUUUGCCUCAUACAAAGAAAUAAAAUAAUUAACUUACCGAGGAAGUGGGGGUCAUAUGAUUUUACUUUGAGAGAGUAAUGAAUGACGUUGAGUAACAGCAACAAAAAGGUUUUGCAAGGCAGCUCUGGCUGUGGAGUCUGUUUGGGAUUUUUUGUGAAAUACCCAACAGCCAACCAGUUUUCUCCAUCACCAAAUAUUACCUGUCUUGACCCAGACCAAACCAUGCGCACUUCAGCAAGGAUGACCUGUGUUCCUCAGGAGGAAUGCUGAGUUGAAGGCAGGCAAGAAUUUCAUGACUUUCAAGGACAGGCUGAGUGUGCCAAUGUUCCCUGAGUCAAUAAACACCAAGAUGCCUUCUACUUGUGGAAGAAAUUCCAACAUUUUUGUAUUUUACAUAUUUGGACCUUUGAACUUGGAAUAUUUUGUCACACUUCACAUAGCUUCAUUCCCAGGGGGAAAAAAAAAGCUAGUCUUUCAAGUGGUUAUUAUAAAGCUAAGUGCAUAAAUAUGCAUGAGAGGUCAUUAUUACCGCAAGAUGAUACUUAAAAGGUUCAAGUGUCUCUUACUAAGAUUUUUCAACUUGUUCGGUGACAGGAAAUCAAAGUCUCCAGUUUUUCGUUGCUGAACUUUGCCUUUGAUUGUUCUUUCAAAGUUUUCAAGAAAAUGGCUUCAGAGCUCUGACGGGCAUUCCUUCAUUCAUUCAUUCAACAGGUGGUCAGAUGAGAAAGUAAUGGUAUUUCUCCAUCUUCUGCCUGUGAUCUGAACCUGCUACACAGAAGGUCAGGAUUGGGGGAGAGUGAAGCAAGGAACAGAGCCACCUCCAGCCUUCCUGGAGCUGCUGCCUGGGACGGACCUGCUGUCCUGAGAGUGUGUACCUGUGUAGAGCGCAUGGAGAAGAGUGAGACCUUCUGUCCAGCUGCCUCUGCUUGGAUGUCACUUCCCUAAGCCUGGUGUGGAGUCAGGCGCGCUGAGACUGGCUUUCAUCCCGGCCAGCGGAUCCUCCGUGGAGGGGCCUUUGGGGAACAAAUCUACAAUGAAACACAGAUUUUGUAUGUAUAUUUGCUGAUUUCUUGACUAAUGCAUACACUUGUAUAACCGAAACCUGUCUCAAGAUAUAGAACAUUCUCGUCACCCAUAAAGUUCCUGUGUGCCCCUUCGCAGUCAGUCCCAGCCCACCCAGAGGUAAC
rnacentral:lncRNA from 1 species